GAGAUGCGAUAAGUCGUGUGAAUUGCAGAAUUCAGUGAAUCAUCGAAACUUUGAACGCACAUUGCGCCCAUUGGUAUUCCAAAGGGCAUGCCUGUUCGAGCGUCAUUGGUACCCUCAAGCUUUGCUUGGUGUUGGGCGUGUUGUCUCUAGCUUUGCUGGAGACUCGCCUUAAAGUAAUUGGCAGCCGGCCUACUGGUUUCGGAGCGCAGCACAAGUCGCACUCUCUAUCAGCAAAGGUCUAGCAUCCAUUAAGCCUUUUUUUCAACUUUUUACCUCGGAUGAGGUAGGGAUACCCGCUAACCUUAA
rnacentral:misc_RNA from 1 species